CCCCUUUUUUGUAUUUCCUUAAUUUAUUUCCUUAAUUGAAUUUCGGUUGAUUAAGACGAAGUUCCUUAAAAACCUCUGCCUUCUUUAAAAUAUCCUGAACAGUUUCUGUAGGUUGAGCCCCUUUUUCAAGGAAAUAUAAAAUAGCAGGAACAUUUAAAUAAGUUUGAUUCUUUAUCGGAUCAUAAAAACCCACUUUCUGAAGAUCUUUUCCUUCUCUUCGGGAUCGAACAUCAAUUGCAACGAUUCGAUAGACGGCUCAUUGGGAUAGAUGUAGAUGAACAACACCCCCCCUAGAAACGUAUAGGAAGCUUUCUCCUCGUACGGCUCGAGAAAAAUGAUUGAUUCGAAGUUUUGUCUUUGUAUGGAAUUCUAUCUAAGAAAUGACAACUGGAUCCAUAAAAUGAUCAAAGCAAUUAAAGAUCUAAGUCUUUUUUUCUUCGUUCUUCCUUAAAAUGAAAAAUAAACCAUUCGUACUCUCAUAACUCAAGUUGGAUAACUUUCAAACAGUUCAAAGGAAAAUCUUUCGGCAAUUUCAUUUAUUGAGCGGUCUUUCCUCCUUUUUUGUUUGUCUCGUUUAAAAUCGGAUUCUUCAGUCUGAUCCAGUUAUUAAGACAAUUAAAAAGGUGUUUCCUUGUUCUGGGAUCCUUUAUCUUUGUUUUAUUUUAAAUCAUUGGGUUUAGACAUUACUUCGGUGCUUUUUAAUCCUUUCAAAAUGGCAGCAACAUACCCUUUUUGCGAUUUUUAUGAAAGAAUCCUACAAGAUGAUGGAUUCCCUCGUGAAACACUUUGGAUCGAAAAAGUUUGAUCAAUUCCAAUAAAUUUUUUAAUUUGAAACUUGCUCGAAUUGGAUUCUUUCGAUUUCCAUACCUAAGAUAUAUUAGAUAUAUUUACGAAGUUGUUUCAAUUGUUUUAUUGAUUGGCAUUAACCCUAGACCCUUGCCCCGAGAAAGAAAUUAAUACUUUCUACUCGAGCUCCAUCAUGGACUAUUUACAUUCCAAGACAACAAAAAACGAGGGGUUCUAGUGAAACAGAACCAAUGAUGUCGAGUUAAGAGCACCUUCAUUCCUACAAAAAAUGGUGGAUGUACAAAUCCACAACGGAUCGUGUCCUUCAAGUCGCACGUUGCUUUCUACCACAUCGUUUCAAACGAAGUUUUACCAUAACAUUCCUCUAAGAACCGGUAUGGAAUUGAUUCAAUUAUGGAAUCAUGAAUAGUCAUUGGUUGGGCUGAUGUAUAAACACCAUAAUCUAAAGUAUUUUCUAUAUCUUCUAUAUCUAUAGUAUAUAGAUAUAAAUAAUACUAUAGAUUAAUACUAUAGAUAUAGGGUGGAUAAAUAUUUUUCUGAAGAAGUCUUAGUAAGACCCCAUCGCUAAUAUUAAAUUGUCUAACAUUAUAAUAUUAAUUAAUAAAUAUAUAUAAUAAAAAAUUUUUUAUAUAAAUAAAAUAAGACGAAUAAACGAAUUCUUUUUAAUUCUGCAUCUUCACGUGACUUAAUAGGAGAGAAAGAUUCAGCUUCUAAGGAAUGAUUUAAACUAUUUCUCUUUCGAAAUUUCGAAUCAAUUUCGAAAGUUCCCCUCUCGACAUCAUUAUUCCAAGAAAAUUUGAUAGUUAAAAAUAACUUUUGAUCAUCUUAGGAAAAAAGAUAAGUCUUUUUUUUUUUUUUUUCAUCUGAUUAAUAAAAUCCAAAGAAUGGGGAGGGUUUCGUAUCUAUCAAUUCGAUCAAAUAGACUGAGCAAUUGUCACCGUUUAUAGAUAUUGAAAUGAACGCCUUCCCAUCACUGAUUAACUCCUAUCUACCCCAUUCUCUGGGACUGAUGCAGCAUAAAUCAAAAGAAGGGGAUGUCCUAGUCUUUUUUUUUACGAAAUGCGAGCUGGCUGGGCACAAAGCCAAACAAGCCCAGAUUAAGUCCAGUUUUUGCUCCUUUUUUCUAUUUUAGCCUACCUCAUUGAUUAAGAAUUAAGAGACUUAGUGAAUUGAAUUAGUACCAAAAACCCCUUCUUGGCGAAAAGUCAAGAAAUCCACAAAAAAGCAAAUUGAAUCUAAUUAGGCUAAUUUAGGGGGUAGAGAAUAUGAGAUAGGGAAUAUGGAUUCUUUCGUAUCUCGAUUCAGUUUUUGAAAAAAAAAAAAACGAUUCAUCGAAGAAAAAAAUCAGAAACAACAAUCACAUUCCAGCUAACAUUUCGAUUUUAAACAGAACAUUGUUAAAAAAGCAAUCUAUAUUGUCAGAGAAUAUAUAUGUUCUGGGACGGAAGGAUUCGAACCUCCGAAUAGCGGGACCAAAACCCGUUGCCUUACCACUUGGCCACGCCCCAUUUAGAUUUCUAUGCGAUACUAAUAAAGUAUAUUGCUGGUUUUGUUUGUUUGUCAACUCUAGCCCAAAUAUCUAUAGAAUCGAUUAGAUUGGUAUUCGGAUUUUUCUAUGUUUUUGGUAUGUGUAGAUAUAGAAUUCAACUUAAUUUAUUGAUCAUUACAUAUAAUUCAAUUAAGAUAUUGUAUGAAAAUAUUAUUUUUUCGAUUCUCCUUUUCUCAAAGGAGGAUUUUUGAUUGGGUGGGUUCAAAGAAAAAGAAGGAUUUUUUGUUUACCUUACUUACUUUCCUUUUCCUUAUAACUUACUUUCCUUUUCCUUAUAUAAAUAACUCAAUCAAAAUGCAAUUAUCUCCAAGAACAAAAAGUCUGUUAUGCUUAAUACCUUUAGUUUGAUCGGUAUCUGUCUUAAUUCGACCCUUUAUUCGAGUAGUUUUUUCUUCGGCAAAUUGCCCGAGGCCUAUGCUUUUUUGAAUCCAAUCGUAGAUAUUAUGCCAGUCAUACCUCUGUUCUUUUUUCUCUUAGCCUUUGUUUGGCAAGCUGCUGUAAGUUUUCGAUGAGAUCCUUAAUAAUAUCCUAGAAAAUUCAUGAUUUAUUCGAGAAAAAAUUCGAAAAUCAAUAAAAUCAGAUAAGCUUUACCGUUUGAAAUCUCGAUUCAAACAUUGAAAUUCUUGGAUAGUCACGAGAAAUCCGGCUUAACUUAAUUUCCUUCUUUUUUGGCGCUUUCCUUUCCAGUGAAAGACCUUAUUAGGCUCCUCUUGUAUAUAUAAAAAAUUUGGUUAAUGACAAACUCUUAUUAUAAAAGAAUUUCUGAAAAUUCUUUUAGAGAAAAAGCUUCGUUGCUUGGUGUCAAACUAGGAUAUGCGAUGGAUGAUCUAUUCUCUUUUUUUUUUUCAAAAAAAUCAUCUUGGAGAUUGUGUAAUGCUUACUCUCAAACUCUUCGUUUACACAGUAGUGAUAUUUUUUGUUUCUCUCUUCAUCUUUGGAUUCCUAUCUAAUGAUCCCGGACGUAAUCCUGGACGUGAAGAAUAAAAUAAAAAAGUUUUUUCCUUGCUUGAUUUUCAAAUUUUCUUAGGAUUUGGUCUAUUCCACACAUUUAACUAAGAAUAAGAACAAAGGAUUUCGAAAUUUGAAAAAAAAAAAUCAAGUCAUCAACGGAAAGAGAGGGAUUCGAACCCUCGGUACGAUUAACUCGUACAACGGAUUAGCAAUCCGCCGCUUUAGUCCACUCAGCCAUCUCUCCCAAUUGAAAAAGAUAAUUAAUACAUGAGAUAGCACAUUAAGAUAAAGGAAAGAA
rnacentral:lncRNA from 1 species